GAUGAACGCUGGCGGCGUGCCUAAUACAUGCAAGUCGAGCGAACAGAUGAGGAGCUUGCUCCUCUGACGUUAGCGGCGGACGGGUGAGUAACACGUGGAUAACCUACCUAUAAGACUGGGAUAACUUCGGGAAACCGGAGCUAAUACCGGAUAAUAUAUUGAACCGCAUGGUUCAAUAGUGAAAGACGGUUUUGCUGUCACUUAUAGAUGGAUCCGCGCCGCAUUAGCUAGUUGGUAAGGUAACGGCUUACCAAGGCAACGAUGCGUAGCCGACCUGAGAGGGUGAUCGGCCACCCUGAACUGAGACACGGUCCAGACUCCUACGGGAGGCAGCAGUAGGGAAUCUUCCGCAAUGGGCGAAAGCCUGACGGAGCAACGCCGCGUGAGUGAUGAAGGUCUUCGGAUCGUAAAACUCUGUUAUUAGGGAAGAACAAAUGUGUAAGUAACUAUGCACGUCUUGACGGUACCUAAUCAGAAAGCCACGGCUAACUACGUG
rnacentral:rRNA from 1 species